rfam:Cicer arietinum chromosome Ca7, whole genome shotgun sequence.
AUCCCAUGAUGAAGACAUUUCAUAAGAAAAUCCUUAAGCAUUUCCCAAGCCUCAAAUAAAGUUUCAUCUUCAAUUUGCCUAAAAAGGGUGAUGUCAUUCCUCUUUUU